CUGCAAGGUAAACAUCCAAUGAGUUGUUAAGUGGUUCGGCUAGAUAUUCGUCGUCUUAACUGUGGACUAACACCCAGCAUUUAUGCUACUAAGGACUUCUGACUGACCUCACUUCAUUGGCUCUCAGGUCCUCUGACCAGAUGGUUUCGAUGUUGCACGAUGCACACACCAUCAGGAGCAAAGCGAGAAGAAAACUCAUGUUGUUGUUGCUCCAUGAAGUUUGGAGUAAUUUAGUUCUAUACACAAGUGUUUUGACAUGUUCAUAAUCCUGGUUGAAUAUUAUUGUCUUUGGCAUUUAUUUAUUAUCAUAAAAUGAAUCUGAUUAAUUCGAAAA